rnacentral:rRNA from 1 species
AGCGUUGUCCGGAAUUAUUGGGCGUAAAGAGCUCGUAGGCGGUGUGUCACGUCUUUCGUGAAAACCUGCAGCUUAACUGUGGGCGUGCGGUCGAUACGGGCAUCACUGGAGUUCGGCAGGGGAGACUGGAAUUCCUGGUGUAGCGGUGAAAUGCGCAGAUAUCAGGAGGAACACCGGUGGCGAAGGCGGGUCUCUGGGCCGAUAAUGACGCUGAGGAGCGAAAGCGUGGGGAGCAAACAGG